CUUUACUGCCCCCCCCCCUCUCUCUCUCUCUCUCUCUCUCUCUCUCUCUCUCCUGAAGAAAUAUCAGCUAUUCAGCAAAUAGGUUUAGGUGUGUUCAGAGAAUGUUCAGGGUAAAUCCUCUCCUUUAUGACCAUCCAUAUGUGGUCCACUUUGUAUUCUUCCACAGCUUUCUUGAACUGCAUGGCUUGGCGUGGGAUGGCUAAAUUAUUCCCUAAUAACAGUAAGUCUGGUAGGAUGCAGUGGGUUAUGGUUACUGCAGUCCGUAGUUCAAUAAAGCUGUGGGAAGAUACAGAGAGGGCCUGAUCAUCAGGGUCAUGAUUAUUUGGUGCUGUGAAGCAGAAAAAGGUUUUUGGAUCUAGAUUUUCUCUCUGAUCUACAGAUCGGUGCUUUGAUUAUCGAUCAUUCAACUUCUCUCUCUGCAAUUAUGAUCAGUUGUUUGAUGAAUUUACCUUUUUUCUUUAUAAUACUGCUAACUGUGAUAGGCUUUCAAGAAUUCCAGUUCUAUUUCUGGCCAUUGCUUAGUGUUGUUGAUGUUGGUAAUCUUCAAUAUUGGGUUAUGCAUAUGUGAUGGUUGUUUAGGAAUUUGAUUUAAUUGGGUUUGUCAAUUUAACUAGGUUGAUUGCUUUGUUAUGCGAAUAAAUAACCUGUGCAAUAUAUGACAGGUGGAGUGUUGGAGUAUUUCUAUCAAUCGGUCAUGUCAUAUAGGCCUGAGUCAAACAUCCAAUUGCUUCGAUUUGAAUUAUCCGGAGGAUCUUAAUACUUUCAGUAAAUGGAUCUGAAACAACCCUCAAAUUGAUCUCAUGGUUGCCUCAAGUGAAAAUGAGAUUCUAUAUGUUGGCAGAUGAAAUGAAUAUAAACAGCUCAGAAUUAUGGCCAAGGUCCUUUUAUUUUAAUCGGGAACAGGAGUCAUGCAUAUGGUAUGCUGCCUGCAGAGAUUGUUAUAGUAGUAAAUUUUUGCAGAGAUGGCUGUAACAGUAAAUUUCUGGCUUUAUUGGAGUUCUAUAUGGUUCUCUUUCUUACAUGCCAUGGUGUCUGUUACACAUUGAACAUAUUACAGCUAUAAUUCUAAUCAUGAAAUCCAGUUUCUUCAGAUAAA